UGGGGAAUAUUGCACAAUGGGCGCAAGCCUGAUGCAGCCAUGCCGCGUGUGUGAAGAAGGCCUUCGGGUUGUAAAGCACUUUCAGCGAGGAGGAAGGUGGUGAGCUUAAUACGCUCAUCAAUUGACGUUACUCGCAGAAGAAGCACCGGCUAACUCCGUGCCAGCAGCCGCGGUAAUACGGAGGGUGCAGGCGUUAAUCGGAAUUACUGGGCGUAAAGCGCACGCAGGCGGUUUGUUAAGUCAGAUGUGAAAUCCCCGGGCUCAACCUGGGAACUGCAUUUGAAACUGGCAAGCUAGAGUCUCGUAGAGGGGGGUAGAAUUCCAGGUGUAGCGGUGAAAUGCGUAGAGAUCUGGAGGAAUACCGGUGGCGAAGGCGGCCCCCCUGGACGAAGACUGACGCUCAGGUGCGAAAGCGUGGGGCAGCAAACAGGAUUAGAUACCCUGGUAGUCCACGCUGUAAAACGAUGUCGAUUUGGAGGUUGUGCCCCUUGAGGCGUGGCUUCCGGAGCUAACG
rnacentral:rRNA from 1 species